AGUGAACGCCGGCGGUAGGCCUAACACAUGCAAGUCGAACGGCAGCACAGGAGAGCUUGCUCUCUGGGUGGCGAGUGGCGGACGGGUGAGGAAUACAUCGGAAUCUACUCUGUCGUGGGGGAUAACGUAGGGAAACUUACGCUAAUACCGCAUACGACCUACGGGUGAAAGCAGGGGACCUUCGGGCCUUGCGCGAUUGAAUGAGCCGAUGUCGGAUUAGCUAGGUGGCGGGGUAAAGGCCCACCAAGGCGACGAUCCGUAGCUGGUCUGAGAGGAGGAUCAGCCACACUGGAACUGAGACACGGUCCAGACUCCUACGGGAGGCAGCAGUGGGGAAUAUUGGAGGAUGGGCGCAAGCCUGACGCAGCAACGCCGCGUGGAGUAUGAAGGCCUUCGGGUCGUAAACUCCUGUCGAUGGGGACGAAGUACUAGCGAUAGUAUUGACUGUACCCGUUGAGGAAGCCACGGCUAACUCCGUGCCAGCCGCCGCGGUAA
rnacentral:rRNA from 1 species